UGACAUCAUCAACAGACAAGUGACAACUGUCCCAGAGGAGCCUGUGUUUACCUGCAUCAUUAGCCACCGGGCCGGAAAGUUCUGCUGCCUCUUGGUCAGAUCCAGAACCCCCUCAGAAAAUGAGCAGAGUCAGCACCGAGUCCAGAAGGACAAGAACAAGGAGGGCAAUGGGCACCCAGAGAAGGCAGCGUAGCCAGGGGGCUACUCACCGUAGCCGGACUCAGCGCCGCAGGAGGAGAACUGGUACCGCUACAAGAACCAGAACCAGCAGAGCCAAUAUCACUAGAAUGAUGUGGAGAGCCUAUGGCUCGGAAUAUCGCUCCUAAGCGCACUGAGAGGCACAUGUGAUCCCAAGAGCCAAUGGAGGCUGAGACCAGUCGCUGUGGCCGCUGGGCAUCUGAAUUCCUCAGUAAUAAGUCACUUCUGUUCCCCACCGAGAAGCACCAAUAAAACCGAUAGCAAACGCA